GUGUGUUUAGCUCAGUGGCAUAAGAGCAGCUCUCAUGAAUGUAGAAGCUCAUGGGUUCAAGUCCUAUAACACACA
rnacentral:tRNA from 1 species